rnacentral:lncRNA from 1 species
AGAAACAUUCGAACAUUCAAAUGUUUCUAUAAUAUUACUAUACAUAUUAUAUAUUUAUCAGGAUACUGGAAGCUAUUGAAAAUGAACCAAGUCUGACAGUCACAAAUUGUUGGAAGCAGUUCGAUAUCACUGAUUGCAUCAUCAUUAUUAAAGACUCUCUUGUUAGAGUAAAGCAGACAUCUCUGAAUUUCAGCUGGUCUAUGCUGUGGAAGGAGUAUGUCAAUGAAUUUUCCCAACAUAAACUCCUAGAGGCCAAAUGUAUAGUAGAUGUUGCAAAAUAUCUGUGUCAUGAAGAUUUGGAAAACAUAAAAGAUGACAACAUAGAGCAAUUGCUGCAGUCAUACAAUGAGGAAUUGACUGAAGAAUUGGAGGAACUAAUCAGAUCUAAUGAAAAAGAAGAUAAAAGAUGAAAAAAGUAAAAUGACUCUUUCUAAUCUAAACAAAGAAGUCCCAGUAGCAAAUAAUCUCUCUUAAUUUUUCCUUGAAGUUGAUCCUAACAUGGAGUGGAGUCUAAAAUUAAAAUGGAGUUUAAAAGAUUUGUUAGUUCCAUAUAAACAAUUACAAAAAGGAUUUCAGAAGAAACUGAAGCAGACAUCUCUUUUGAGCUACUUAAAG